GUGUGUGUUAGUGGAAGCGUCUGGAAAGGCGCGCGAUACAGGGUGACAGCCCCGUACACAAAAAUGCACAUACUGUGAGCUCGAUGAGUAGGGCGGGACACGUGGUAUCCUGUCUGAAUAUGGGGGGACCAUCCUCCAAGGCUAAAUACUCCUGACUGACCGAUAGUGAACCAGUACCGUGAGGGAAAGGCGAAAAGAACCCCGGCGAGGGGAGUGAAAAAGAACCUGAAACCGUGUACGUACAAGCAGUGGGAGCCUCUUUAUGGGGUGACUGCGUACCUUUUGUAUAAUGGGUCAGCGACUUAUAUUCUGUAGCAAGGUUAACCGAAUAGGGGAGCCGAAGGGAAACCGAGUCUUAACUGGGCGUUAAGUUGCAGGGUAUAGACCCGAAACCCGGUGAUCUAGCCAUGGGCAGGUUGAAGGUUGGGUAACACUAACUGGAGGACCGAACCGACUAAUGUUGAAAAAUUAGCGGAUGACUUGUGGCUGGGGGUGAAAGGCCAAUCAAACCGGGAGAUAGCUGGUUCUCCCCGAAAGCUAUUUAGGUAGCGCCUCGUGAAUUCAUCUCCGGGGGUAGAGCACUGUUUCGGCAAGGGGGUCAUCCCGACUUACCAACCCGAUGCAAACUGCGAAUACCGGAGAAUGUUAUCACGGGAGACACACGGCGGGUGCUAACGUCCGUCGUGAAGAGGGAAACAACCCAGACCGCCAGCUAAGGUCCCAAAGUCAUGGUUAAGUGGGAAACGAUGUGGGAAGGCCCAGACAGCCAGGAUGUUGGCUUAGAAGCAGCCAUCAUUUAAAGAAAGCGUAAUAGCUCACUGGUCGAGUCGGCCUGCGCGGAAGAUGUAACGGGGCUAAACCAUGCACCGAAGCUGCGGCAGCGACACUAUGUGUUGUUGGGUAGGGGAGCGU
rnacentral:rRNA from 1 species